rnacentral:rRNA from 1 species
UGUGUAGGCGGUUCUCUAAGUUCCGUGUGAAAUCUCCCGGCUUAACUGGGAGGGUGCGCGGGAAACUGGAGGGCUGGAGUAUGGGAGAGGAAAGCGGAAUUCCUGGUGUAGCGGUGAAAUGCGUAGAUAUCAGGAGGAACACCUGCGGUGUAGACAGCUUUCUGGACCAUCACUGACGCUGAGACACGAAAGCGUGGGUAGCAAACAGGAUUAGACACCCUGGUAGUCCACGCCCUAAACGAUGCAUACUUGGUGUGAGCCGUUCAUUCGGUUCGUGCCGGAGUUAACGCGUUAAGUAUGCCGCCUGGGGAGUACGGUCGCAAGGCUGAA